UCCCGACUCUGGCUGGCGGCGGGUGUGCUCGUAUGUGCUCUCCUUGGGGCAUGGGUCUGGUGAGCCAUGGAUGGAUAUAAAAUUAACAGUAACUGGGUGAUGGCCAGAAAAUCCUGGCUGUUGAUAGUGUUGUGGAUGGCUGUUUCUCCUUCAUCAGCAGACACAGGAUUCUUGGAGUCUAUAGAGGUCCAGCCAGACCCCACAGAAUCUCCCUCCACAGGUAAGUCUUAAUAACUUCGCAAUUAAUCUUGAUUGCAGGUAGAAGGCAUUUACGAGCUCUUUGUUGCUCGUUAACAACUUUGUUGCCGACUUUUUAAUAAUCUCGCCUC